UCCGCUAACUAAUGGGCUAUUGAACGAAUCUGUUUAUCAGAAUCGCCGAACUAAAACUGCGUAAGUAGCGGAGUACUUAAAGAAACGUUGGCGUCAUACAACGUGACGAAAGUACUGCAAAGUACAUAAGGUUAAAAAUUUAAGGACAAGAGACUGUUAGUGAUGACGCACUAACAGCUUUUU
rnacentral:ncRNA from 1 species